rnacentral:rRNA from 1 species
ACUCCUACUGGAGGCAGCAGUGGGGAAUAUUGCACAAUGGGGAAACCCUGAUGCAGCCAUGCCGCGUGUGUGAAGAAGGCCUUCGGUUGUAAAGCACUUUCAGUAGGGAGGAAGGUAGUGUAGUUAACACCUGCAUUAUUUGACGUUACCUACAGAAGAAGCACCGGCUAACUCCGUGCCAGCAGCCGCGGUAAUACGGAGGGUGCGAGCGUUAAUCGGAAUUACUGGGCGUAAAGCGCAUGCAGGCGGCCUGUUAAGUCAGAUGUGAAAGCCCGGGGGCUUAACCUCGGAAUUGCAUUUGAAACUGGCAGGCUAGAGUCUUGUAGAGGGGGUAGAAUUUCAGGUGUAGCGGUGAAAUGCGUAGAGAUCUGAAGGAAUACCAGUGGCGAAGGCGGCCCCCUGGACAAAGACUGACGCUCAGAUGCGAAAGCUGGGGAGCAAACAGGAUUAGAUACCCUGGUAGCACAGAG